GAUAUUCUCACCGCACGUGGGUCGUUCGCGACUCGCGUAGCCUCGAUUUUAGCGCUUCGAUUGACUCGCUUGUAUCGGCGACGAUUACUCACCGCUUUCUGUCCGUCGCUGACUCGUUUCUUUACAGAUUUCUUCCUAUGACACUCGUCGCGAACGACAACACUGUAAAUCCUUACCAGAUACUGGAAAUCACUGGAACGCGACUAGAGUCAUUUGAACGCACGUGUAAGAUUGCCAGUAAAUCGCCCGCUCGCGGAGCUGCGCGUGCGUUCUUGUUCCUUUGGUCACGUGGCUCGAAUGUCACUGAUGGACGAAGGAAAGACGCUAAAGCGGUGUCCACAAAUUGCUACCUGUAGACUGGCGCUACUGUAUCUACGAUACGAGGCGGAAACGCAAAAUAUCAUCCAGUUUCUGCGAGGCGAUCAUGGCAGCUGAAUCUAUAGCGCAUGCUGCUGCACUCCUUUAUCCCGAUUCUUCGAAUUUUAACGAAUAUUGAAAGAUAACGAUGAUGACAAUGUUCAGGUUUCUUUAGACGUAUUCAAUCGUGCCGUGAUUGUGAGUUUGUACAUCAUCCCGAGGAAAUAUUGAUAUGAAAUCAGAGGAAAAACUGUUUUGAAAAAAUUUUCAAGUUUCGCAGUCAUUCAAACUUGGUUAAAAUAGAUUAAUUGUUACAUUAGCUAGCUUUCUGAAGUAUGAGGAUCCUUGAACAAUUUUUUAUAUGUAGAUUAACAGGAAAAUGUUUAGGAAAAAGAUGAUUCUGAAGGAACAAAGUUUUGGAAAAAAAUCGAUAGAAGUUUGUAUGUUUCCAUUACAGACAUGUAACAGCCAAGACGUUUCCACGAUUCUAUUGCAGUACGAAGAUGAAGUAUAACGUUGAAAAAUUCUAUUUCGAUUGAAAGCAUUUCUAUUUAUAAAUUCUGGUACUUUAUACCGGGAAUGCCAUGCUUCGUAAAAUUGCUCGCACGGUAUUCGUUGUCCUAUGAUAAAUGAAUUCAGAACUUUCAACAAUUAAAAAAGUUUCACUUCCAAGUCUGUUCAUCAUUCGAUAAUUAUACUAAUGCUUGUAAGCAGAAGAAGGAACCCCAGUCGCGCAGGAUCGCGCCAAUCAAAAGCCAGAGAAAUAGAGGAUAUACUUACGCUAAGUAUGUAACACCGGGAUCGUCUCACAGAAACCGUUCGAUCACUAUCUUCGCCGUGGAUCGGCAAGAUCAUUUACAACAGAAUGUCCGAAAAUCGUAGCAGCACGAGCCGAUGAUUCCUCACUCGCGGUCUCGAUUACUUUACACACGCACUUUCGUGGAUGCCGUGAAACGUCGCUUGGCGUCUUCGUCACUGAUAUUCGACAGUCUAUUGUCUUCUGUUCGUUUCCGGUCCCCUACCGAUCGUCACGCAUUAUCUUCAUCUCCUUCCCGCUCGAAUCUCUCGAUCCGCUUUUGUUCUUUCACGCCGCGUUCGCUGUCCCUCGGCCUGCCCCUUUUCGACGGUGGCCCUGCCGUUCUCGGCUGCGAUCGACUUCAACCUCAACCACGUUCAGAUCGGACGCACCGCGCCCACUGAUAACAAUGCAUCCAGAUACCGCGAGAUUCGCACGUACACGCAACGUGUCUGAUACUCGAGCGAUAUGCAGCGCAGCGAGAUAAUGUUGCAUCGUCUGGUGGCCGCGCGCGCUGUACGCUUCUCACACCGCGACACUUUGCUCCCUAAUUAUUCGAUGAAUCCAGCCUUUCUGGGCGUCCGCGAAGACGCGUCAAAAACAGAGAUAACGAACGCUUCGUGUCCCGAUGAUAUCUGUCUUCUCCGUGGAAUCUCCGACCGUCUUACGAUUACUAUUGUCCGCGCAAUUGCGAAACGAGGGGGUUUUUCUCAACGGCCUCUGCGAUUUUUCCGAUUAGAUUAGAUAUUGUCGAUGGUUUCAUUCGCGUCAUCGUCACAGGUUGUUAGCCGUUAUUCUGUGUUUAAAUCACUGUAAGGUUUAUUAGCCGAGGUUUAUUGUUUAAAUGAGAUCUCUGAGAUAGUUUUUAAUGAAAUGGUUAGGAAGGUUAGGAAAUGGAAGGGAAUACUUUUUGUAUUAUUUUAAUAUCAUUAUUAUAUAUUGUACAUACAUUGUACAUACGGUGAAUAUAAUUCCUAUUUGCAUUCCGAGAAACACAUUCAUUAUGGUUAAUAGAUUACUUACAACCAAUGAAGGCAUUCACGGAAGAUUGAUGAUGUAGACAUUAACGUGCGUGCAGCUGUAUGUUUUUAUUAUUUGUGCAUCAAGGACGGAGAUUAGCUGAGUUCAUAGAAGAUGAAUGUCCAGUAUCCUCUGAUCCGAAGUGUACGUAUUCGUGUUAACUAUUUGUGUCAUUUUAUUCGUUUUAGUUCAUUGAACACAGUUAAUAUUGCACGCUACGAAUUAUCUUUCAAUGGUUAUUCUGUGUUUCCGUUAUCAAUUUUUGCCGUAAGCGAAUUGAUUUACCAAUUGACAGUCCGUGUAGUUUGAACGAACAAUUUUUGCCAUAAUUGUCUACUGAUCAGCGAAGAAAGCAUGUUAUUAUCUAUUCGGCGUAGCUUUCGGUAUCGACGUUUCCAAAAAUAAAAAAAAAACACGCGCAGAAUAUUGUAAAGUCAGCCGAUACAUAAUAUCGUAACAGAAUUUAUACGGUGUAUUGCGAAUCGAAAAAUACACGCGGCGUGGCAGAAACGCGAUCUUAUCGCUUCAUUGCAAUUCUGGAAGUCGCGCGCUUAUCACACAAUACAUGAAAUCGUUCACAAAUUCUAUUAUCGUGCCCAAUAACGCGGAUCGUGCGGCGGCAUUUGCAUGCGCGCCACGCAAUUCAUUGAGUUUCGCUGGUAAAAAUUAUCAAUGAUACGGCAAGAUUGUGAACGUAUCGAUUCGAAGUUUACAGUAACCACCGGGAUAUCGGUGGAAUUUCUGCUAACGAAAAUUACGGAUACCGAUAGUUCUGUUCACGGGCCGCGAUGCUUUCUCUCCGGAUUACAUGCAACGGGGCUGCUUUUCACUGCACAUUUUUUAAUAUAUGCAAGGUCGCAUUGUGUGCCGCGGAUAAAGCGGGACCGAUGAAUAAAAGAAUGCAGGUAUCGUUGUUUUCCCUUUUUCCGGCAUAUAGGACUUCGAUAUGUUCUUUUCCUUUUUCUUUUUUUUUUCUUUUAUUCAUCCGAUCUCGCAGCACCAUAGAAAACACUCGUGUCGAUCAAGGGGGAAUUCCCGAGUUGUGAAUGCGCCAUGAAAGUCUAUGUAUACUCGUGCGACAACGGAGUUAUAACAAUAGAUACGCGAACGCUCUCUGGUCAAAGAAAAUAGAUAUUAUCAAUCGAAUGAUUUCUCUCGGAGAUUGUAGAUUUAUUUUCGAGUACUAUCUGUUCGCGGUCAAAAGCAAUCUUGGAUUAAUAGAUAUAUUUAUUGUUAAACUGCAACGUGCAAUGAAUCCACUACGACCUCGCUGGAAACGUGAAACAGGAAUUGCGAUUGUUAGACGUGUUUUUAAUUGAAAUCAGAAGAAAAAUAAAGCUCUUAUCCCUCACUA